CUAUUCCGACAGGGGAGCGCACAGCGCUGAGAGUGCGGCAGCAGCCGCAGACCCUCGAACCUGAACCGGGUCAUACCGGCGUAGGGAGUUCGGUCACCACUCGAC
rnacentral:ncRNA from 1 species